CCCCCCCUCCUUUUUCAGUGUUGGAACCCACACAUUUUCAAUCAAUUUAGGUUUUAGCACUGCGGCUGGAUCUGUUCAUGUGUGUAACACAGAUGGCUGCAACAAUGGAAUCAUACCUUAUCCUGGUGUUCAGAAGAAAAACAACCUGCAGUGUUUCUUCUGUAAUGAUGAAUCUUCUGCUCUGUGUAAGAAGAAAUUAUAGUGUGAGGGAAUGGAGAACCGCUGUUUUAAUGGAAGUGUGGAAGACAACAUGGGUGCAACAGUUAAUAUGUUUGGAUGUGUCUCUUCAAACUUCUGUCCAAUUCUUUCUAGUUCUAAACUCCUGCCUCUCCCUGGCAACUUCAUUAGUCCACCAAAAUGUUGUGAAGGCAGCUUCUGUAACUCAUCCUGGUCCGUCAAACUGAGUGUGAUGACUUUGCUGUUUGGACUCAUCACCCUUAUCUUCUAUUAGAACAA